rnacentral:rRNA from 1 species
UGCAAGUCGAGCGCCCCGCAAGGGGAGCGGCAGACGGGAGAGUAACACGUGGGAACGUACCCUUCGGUUCGGAACAACCCAGGGAAACUUGGGCUAAUACCGGAUACGUCCGUAAGGAGAAAGAUUCAUCGCCGAAGGAUCGGCCCGCGUCUGAUUAGCUAGUUGGUGGGGUAAUGGCUCACCAAGGCGACGAUCAGUAGCUGGUCUGAGAGGAUGAUCAGCCUCACUGGGACUGAGACACGGCCCAGACUCCUACGGGAGGCAGCAGUGGGGAAUAUUGGACAAUGGGCGCAAGCCUGAUCCAGCCAUGCCGCGUGGGUGAUGAAGGCCCUAGGGUUGUAAAGCCCUUUCGGCGGGGAAGAUAAUGACGGUACCCGCAGAAGAAGCCCCGGCUAACUUCGUGCCAGCAGCCGCAGUAAUACGAAGGGGGCUAGCGUUGCUCGGAAUCACUGGGCGUAAAGCGCACGUAGGCGGCUUCUUAAGUCAGGGGUGAAAUCCUGGAGCUCAACUCCAGAACUGCCUUUGAUACUGGGGAGCUUGAGUCCGGGAGAGGUGAGUGGAACUGCGAGUGUAGAGGUGAAAUUCGUAGAUAUUCGCAAGAACACCAGUGGCGAAGGCGGCUCACUGGCCCGGUACUGACGCUGAGUGCGAAAGCGUGGGGAGCAAACAGGAUUAGAUACCCUGGUAGUCCACGCCGUAAACGAUGGAUGCUAGCCGUUGGCGGGUUUACCCGUCAGUGGCGCAGCUAACGCAUUAAGCAUCCCGCCUGGGGAGUACGGUCGCAAGAUAAAACUCAAAGGAUUGACGGGGGCCCGCACAAGCGGUGACAUGG